GCCCCGGUAGCUCAGCUGGAUAGAGCAGAGGACUUCUAAGCCUAAGGUCGUUGGUUCGAACCCAACCCGGGGUACCA
rnacentral:tRNA from 1 species